UCAACCCAUUUAACCUUCUAACCCAUCAAAUUAAAUGAGUUGAUGGGUUGACUCAACUCAUUUAGCCAAAUGAGUUGAGUCAACCCAUCAACUCAUUUAACUCUAAACUCAUUGGGUAAUGAGU
rnacentral:pre_miRNA from 1 species